rnacentral:rRNA from 1 species
UGCAUGCCCGCUCACCCGGGACGCGGCGGACGGCUCAGGACAACGGUUGCACCCCCCGCGGCGGUCCCUGCUAGCCGGACACCGCUGGCAACCCGGCGCCAAGACGUGCGCGCAAGGGCGGGCGCCCGCGGGCGAGCAGCGUGACGCAGCGACGGCCCGCCCGGGCUUCCGGGGCAUCACCCGGUCGGCGCGGUCGCGGCGCGCCGAGGGCCCGACGCCU